GACGAACGCUGGCGGCGUGCUUAACACAUGCAAGUCGAACGGAAAGGCCCUGCUUUUGUGGUGUGCUCGUGUGGCGAACGGGUGAGUAACACGUGAGUAACCUGCCCUUGACUUUGGGAUAACUUCAGGAAACUGGGGCUAAUACCGGAUAGGAGCUCCUGCUGCAUGGUGGGGGUUGGAAAGUUUCGGCGGUUGGGGAUGGACUCGCGGCUUAUCAGCUUGUUGGUGGGGUAGUGGCUUACCCAGGCUUUGACGGGUAGCCGGCCUGAGAGGGUGACCGGCCACAUUGGGACUGAGAUACGGACCAGACUCCUACGGGAGGCAGCAGUGGGGAAUAUUGCACAAUGGGCGGAAGCCUGAUGCAGCAACGCCGCGUGCGGGAUGACGGCCUUCGGGUUGUAAACCGCUUUCGCCUGUGACGAAGCGUGAGUGACGGUAAUGGGUAAAGAAGCACCGGCUAACUACGUG
rnacentral:rRNA from 1 species